rnacentral:lncRNA from 1 species
AGUGGGCAGAGUAUUCUCUGCAGGCAAGCUCUCUUCUUGCAGGGAAGGUACCCAGAUAUCUGGUGUUCGAACCGGCCUCCUGGCAGAAGUUGUGUUCCACUCGCUAGAGGUCUUAGGAUCCCGUGUGGAAUCCUGUGUGGGCCCUUGCGGGUGUCAGGCGACUCCGCUGGCAAGGUACCCUGGUGUUCAAGUGGAGUGGAAGGGACUUGUACCCCAGGUCAGGCCGGGGUAGUCUGCUUCCCUAUUUACCGCAGUCUCAGGUUCCGCGCGAUUGGAUUGGGGCAGGCGCUGUGUUCCACUCACCAGAGGUCUUAGGAUCCCGUGGGGAAUCCUGUGUGGGCCCUUGCGGGUGUCGGGCGACUCCGCUGGCAAGGUACCCUUGGGCUCGUGUCGCCACUGACAUCUAAGGGGAAGCAAUGAAAGAAGUGUUCUCUAUGUUCAACAAGGACAUGUUAUUUUGAAAUAUUUGUGUCAGAGGUUGGCUGACUCUUGAGGUGGCACCCUUGAAUAUGGAUGGCUAAAAUCAGCUGUGCUCUGGACCUUCUGAGUUCGAGGCCAGCCUGGUCUACAAAGUGAGUUCCAGGACAGCCAAGGCUAUACAGAGAAACCUUGUCUCGAAAAACCAGAAAAAAAAAUGCAGUUUGAAACAAUGAGAACAAUAGAUCAGGGGAGUUGAUGUGUGUACAGAAAACAGCAAUACUAGGGGUCAAAUGGAAAGUAGAAGCAGAAGAUGGAAUGUGGACAGCUCUUGGCAGCAAAGAGCAGAUGCUGAGAUGGUGCAGAAUGAGGGGUGCGUGCUGCAAACACGAAGGAACAGAACCCCAUGAACAACUUGAAUGUUCUUGAAGGAUUCUUCUUCACAGUUGCAGUGAGGAGGAAUCUCAUCCUGCUGACACCUCCCGUUUUGUGUUAUAAAAUCUAAAGCAGAAAGAAUCACUCACGAUGGCCUCUGCCUGAUGGGAUCUAUCCCAAAGCCCACCGACACGGAAGAGAAGCACAAAGGACAAGAAGUGACCCCAGGUGCCUUGCUUCCACUUUAUCCAUAUGCAUCUGCCAACAGUUAUGUAAGCAUAAAGGAAGCAUGAAGAAAAGGCGCCAUUUGAUCACUCAAGAUUCAUAUACUUCCAAAAUGACAUCACAAGCUUGGUGUCUGUAUCUUCACUGUGUCUAGUGUAUCUGAAUGUGCCUCCCCUUGUGUAUGCUCAGCACAGUGUUCUCU